GAGUUUGAUCCUGGCUCAGAACGAACGCUGGCGGCGGGCCUCAUACAUGCAAGUCGAGCGCGAAAGUCCGCAAGGAUGAGUAAAGCGGCGCACGGGUGAGUAACACGUGGAUAAUCUACCCUUUGGAUUGGAAUAACCUGUCGAAAGACGGGCUAAUGCCGAGUAAGCUCCCGAGAACGUAAAGUUCUUGUGAGGGAAAGAUGGCGCAAGCUAUCGCCGAUGGAUGAGUCUGCGUCCCAUUAGUUAGUUGGUGAGGUAAUGGCUUACCAAGACAAUGAUGGGUACCUGGUCUGAGAGGAUGAUCAGGCACACUGGAACUGAAACAGG
rnacentral:rRNA from 1 species